rnacentral:rRNA from 1 species
UACGUAGGGUGCAAGCGUUGUCCGGAAUUAUUGGGCGUAAAGAGCUCGUAGGCGGUUUGUCGCGUCUGGUGUGAAAAUCCAGGGCUUAACCCUGGACCUGCAUCGGGUACGGGCAGACUAGAGUGCGGUAGGGGAGAUCGGAAUUCCUGGUGUAGCGGUGAAAUGCGCAGAUAUCAGGAGGAACACCGGUGGCGAAGGCGGAUCUCUGGGCCGUAACCGACGCUGAGGAGCGAAAGCAUGGGGAGCGAACAGG